rnacentral:ncRNA from 1 species
UAGCAAUGUCCUCCGUUCCCAGCGAUUUUCUUGCAUAUCCCACAACAGUAAAUCCACUUGACUUAAGAUUGCGAAUAAAUGCUUGAUGUUUUGGUAGGAGUUCGCAAAUAGAUUCAGCAACAUAUCCAAGGAAGGCAGCAGGCGCGCAAAUUACCCAAUCCCAAUUCGGGGAGGUAGUGACAAUAAAUAACAAUGCUGGGCAUUUUUGCCUAGCAAUUGGAAUGAGUACAAUUUAAAUCCCUUAACGAGGAUCAAUUGGAGGGCAAGUCUGGUGCCAGCAGCCGCGGUAAUUCCAGCUCCAAAAGCGUAUAUU